rnacentral:rRNA from 1 species
ACGAACGCUGGCGGCAUGCCUAACACAUGCAAGUCGAACGAGACCUUCGGGUCUAGUGGCGCACGGGUGCGUAACGCGUGGGAAUCUGCCCUUGGGUUCGGAAUAACAGUUGGAAACGACUGCUAAUACCGGAUGAUGACGUAAGUCCAAAGAUUUAUCGCCCAGGGAUGAGCCCGCGUAGGAUUAGCUAGUUGGUGGGGUAAAGGCCUACCAAGGCGACGAUCCUUAGCUGGUCUGAGAGGAUGAUCAGCCACACUGGGACUGAGACACGGCCCAGACUCCUACGGGAGGCAGCAGUGGGGAAUAUUGGACAAUGGGCGAAAGCCUGAUCCAGCAAUGCCGCGUGAGUGAUGAAGGCCUUAGGGUUGUAAAACUCUUUUACCCGGGAUGAUAAUGACAGUACCGGGAGAAUAAGCCCCGGCUAACUCCGUG